CCUCGGACGUACGCUUGAUCUGUUAGCAUGGAAUAAUGAAAUAUGACUUUAGUCCUAUUUUCGUUGGUUUAGGUACUUCAGUAAUGAUGAAUAGAAACGGUUAGGGGCAUUUGUAUUUGGUCGCUAGAGGUGAAAUUCUUGGAUUGACCGAAGACAAACUACUGCGAAAGCAUUUGACCCGGGACGUUUUCAUUGAUCAAGGUCUAAAGUUAAGGGAUCGAAGACGAUUAGAUACCGUCGUAGUCUUAACCACAAACUAUGCCGACUAGAGAUUGGGCGUGUUUAUUAUGACUCGCUCAGCAUCUUAGCGAAAGUAAAGUUUUUGGGUUCUGGGGGGAGUAUGGGACGCAAGGCUGAAACUUAAAGAAUUUGACGGAA
rnacentral:rRNA from 2 species